rnacentral:lncRNA from 1 species
AUGGUGCAAAAGUACAAGCCAGUGCCAAUGAACCUGGACAGUUGGCAAAUCACGUCCUUAACUCAGGUGUGGUUUAGAGGAGAGACAGCUUGCAGAGAACUGAAGAAGAUGGAAAAGAAGUGCCUGCUGAGAGUCGUGCCAUUUGUUGGGGACAGCCAGAGGAUGUUGACUCUACUGCCUUCCCUGCAGGAGUCUUCUGUGCAUUGAUGCUCACUGCAGCUGUGUCCGAUUUCCUGAAUGGUGUGCAAGCCUUCUAGGAAAGAAGUCUGACAGCCAUCAGAACUAGCACACCGUAGAAAGUGAACUAGAGAGCAGAAGAGCAAAGAAAUAAGCAGAAGAGAUCAAGAGCAUCAAUAACAUUCUGUAUCCACAGAAGUGAAAAAGGGAGAUGCUGAGGACUUUUGGAUCACAAGAUGUGUCCAAAGAGAUGUGGAAAAUGCUGACGUGAUCUGCUUCAUGAAAGAUCAUUAGAUGCGUGAAGCACUGAAGGUAUGAAAUCACCGACUUAGCAUCAAAAAAGAAGCCAUGGUACUGAAAAUUGCUCAUAAUAUAAAAGAAGUAAUAAUCUCACUGAACUGCAACUAAGAGGUCAGACAUGAGGCUAGGCUAGCUCCCGUGUAGUCAGUGGAGAACUGCUUAGCAGCAUUACAGAAUCUGGGGUGCAGUAUGGUCUUUCCUAGGAGACAUUGAUAUUUGGCCAACUGUAUUUCAUGUGGCCUUACUCUUGCAAGACUGAAUAAUUUCAUGAUGCCUCGGGCAUUUUCAUUAGAGACCAGGCCAAGUACUGUCCUCACUGUAUAACCAAUUUAUAAAUGUUUGUUUCCUGCUUUGUAAAUGGCACCUUCAUGUUUCUUUGCCAAACACACUGACUUUAACUGUAUUCAAUUAGUAAUGGAGAUGCAUGGAACAUUAAAGACUAGGAACUUUGGUGAUUUUAUGCACUAAUGUUUGGCAUUUCAUCAGCAAGCAAACGUUGGUUUCCUAUGGACAUAGCUACACACUGGUGGGGGCAGAACCAAAGUCAACAAACAUCUUAAUUACCCUGGGUACCAUAUCCGCAGGUAUCACAUUACAACCCAUGUACUUCAGAGAAAGCCGCAGUUUAGCUGCAUGAAGACCAGAGCCUUUGCAUCAACGAAGGUCAAAAGUCAAAGGAAAUGCCAGUAGAAGCAGUAGUCAGAGUAAAGGAGCUUAAUAAACCCUUCAACUUCUUGUUUACCCUUGAUUUC